ensembl:snoRNA small Cajal body-specific RNA 6
AAUCCAUGAGGAGUAGUGAAAGGUCCGACUCCCAGGGUCCCCUCCCGAUACCCCUGGCAUCCCCUUGGGCUCCAGUAGUGCUGUGAUGGGCAGAAGGGUGGCUGGUGCUGAGCAACGCCCCAGGGCUGUGUUCCUUGGCGGGAACCCCCCAGCCAGCUGCUAAGGGGGUUCAUUGUUGGGGCUGCUGGUACCUGUGGUUAUGGUCUGACAUUGCAAGCUGAGAUC